rnacentral:rRNA from 1 species
UACGUAGGGUGCGAGCGUUGUCCGGAAUUAUUGGGCGUAAAGAGCUCGUAGGCGGUUUGUUGCGUCGGCCGUGAAAACCUGCAGCUUAACUGUGGGCCUGCGGCCGAUACGGGCAGACUUGAGUUCGGUAGGGGAGACUGGAAUUCCUGGUGUAGCGGUGAAAUGCGCAGAUAUCAGGAGGAACACCAAUGGCGAAGGCAACACUCUGGGACGUGACUGACGCUGAGACGCGAAAGCGUGGGGAGCAAACAGG